rnacentral:rRNA from 1 species
GUGGGGAAUCUUCCGCAAUGGGCGCAAGCCUGACGGAGCAACGCCGCGUGAAUGAAGAAGGUCUUCGGAUCGUAAAGUUCUGUCUUUAGGGAAGAAGUCUUAUCUUGUGAAUAAUGAGAUGAGGUGACGGUACCUUAGGAGGAAGCUCCGGCUAACUACGUGCCAGCAGCCGCGGUAAUACGUAGGGAGCGAGCGUUGUCCGGAAUUACUGGGCGUAAAGGGCGCGUAGGCGGGGACUUAAGUUAGGUGUGAAAACUUCGGGCUUAACCUGAAGACUGCACUUAAAACUGGGUUUCUUGAGGGCAGGAGAGGAAAGUGGAAUUCCUAGUGUAGCGGUGAAAUGCGUAGAUAUUAGGAGGAACACCAGUGGCGAAGGCGACUUUCUGGACUGUACCUGACGCUGAGGCGCGAAAGCAUGGGGAGCGAACAGGA